UAUAGUUGCAACAUUUCUGUUAACCAACUAAAUAAACAUUGCAACCAGCACUUGUACGAAUGGCAACAUGAUAUCAACUAUCAUCGCUAGCUCCUGUCAGGCUCGGUAACAUUAUAUGGAGAUGAACACUCAGAAUAUUUUGUGCUAAUAAAUUGAAGUUUCAACACUUUAGGAUAAUACAACACACAGUAUAAAGGGAACCUUCCUAGAGUCCCACUUAUUUCCUAAGAGUUGAGAGGCCUUUUGUUCAUAGCAAGGGAAUUGCAAACAAGGCUCUCUGAUAACACUGCCUUCUAACUAUGGAUAACUGGCCAAAAGGCAACAAAGUUAUCAAAUGAUCAAAAGAGAACUGAUGCAUACAUUUUAUUUCUCAGCCUUUCUUGUGGGUGCUUGAAAGGGGUCUAGAUAAAAAUGGCAGAUGAAACUUGUCUUUGACAAUUGGAUGGACAGGGCUUAAUAAAAUGAUAGAAAAAGAAUCAUCAUGUUUCACCUAGCUCUUAUUCAGCUCGUAUCUAUCAAAGACAUAGAUUUAUAGCAAAAGAAGUCCUUUUUUGACUGCACUAAUUGUUUGAGUCAACAAGGAUGGUUUACAGCUGGACUAGUGGCUCUGAGAAAGAGAAGAAGGAAAGCCAAACUUUUCAACUGAUAGCUGCAGGGCUGUUGAGGGUGUCUUUUGAAGAGGCUUGCAUGCCAUGGAAUUUUUACUUUUAGCGACCAUGAUGUCUAUAUUUUUUGUUAAGGGAGCUAAUCAUUUCAAAAGGAGAGAAGCUAAUGUUCAUAUUUUGUGAAAUUGUGGAUCCUAGAUUGUACUGUCCAUGCUUGGAAGGGCUAUACGAUGUAAGGGCAGGAAGAGAUAAGACCUUUCAGGAGCUAUUCGAUUGCUCAUUUUGUGAAAAUGGUUAACCAUAAACUUAAAUUGUUUAGAUAUGUACACGGCCUGUGGGUUUUUGUAGGAUUUAUAAAGGCAAAAAGGUAUAGGCCUUGAAAUAUUGGAAGCUAAUAUUUCGUAAAGCAAAUCAUGGGGCAGUUAAUGUUUUCUGUUAUAA
rnacentral:lncRNA from 1 species